GCAAUGUGGCACCAGUCUACUACCAUUUCCGUUGUGUGGUGCUUCCUGUGUCAUGGCAUCUUUGUGCAGUGGACAACCUACAUGCCUGCUUGUGGGAGCUAUAUAUUUCACCAUCUACACUUCAUCCUGCAACUCUGUUGAACAACUUUGCUAGAAAUGGCAGUUCCGCAUCAGAUGUGAUCAACCACUUAUUAAACUGAUUCCACCCUGGAAGAGAAUUAUCCAACAGAAGACUUAAGGUUACCCUCUGAGAAUGCCUGAGGAGAUGCAAUGGGAAGAAAAUGACUCAUGAAACCCAACAAAGGGGUAAAGGGC